rnacentral:rRNA from 1 species
UACGUAGGUGGCGAGGCGUUGUCCGGAAUUACUGGGUGUAAAGCGCGUGUAGGCGGGAGGCCAAGUCUGUGGUGAAUACGCUCGGCUUAACUGGGCGGGGUCCAUGGAAACUGGUCACCUGGAGGUCGGUAGAGGCAAGUGGAAUUCCCGGUGUAGUGGUGAAAUGCGUAGAGAUCGGGAGGAACACCAGUGGCGAAGGGCGGCUUGCCUGGGCCGGACCUGACGCUGA